rnacentral:rRNA from 1 species
GAUGAACGCUGGCGGCGUGCCUAAUACAUGCAAGUCGAGCGAACAGAUGAGGAGCUUGCUCCUCUGACGUUAGCGGCGGACGGGUGAGUAACACGUGGAUAACCUACCUAUAAGACUGGGAUAACUUCGGGAAACCGGAGCUAAUACCGGAUAAUAUAUUGAACCGCAUGGUUCAAUAGUGAAAGACGGUUUUGCUGUCACUUAUAGAUGGAUCCGCGCCGCAUUAGCUAGUUGGUAAGGUAACGGCUUACCAAGGCAACGAUGCGUAGCCGACCUGAGAGGGUGAUCGGCCACACUGGAACUGAGACACGGUCCAGACUCCUACGGGAGGCAGCAGUAGGGAAUCUUCCGCAAUGGGCGAAAGCCUGACGGAGCAACGCCGCAUGAGUGAUGAAGGUCUUCGGAUCGUAAAACUCUGUUAUUAGGGAAGAACAAAUGUGUAAGUAACUAUGCACGUCUUGACGGUACCUAAUCAGAAAGCCACGGCUAACUACGU